UAUGUACUCCCUCCGUUCUGAAUUACUUGUCGCAGGUAUGGAUGUAUUUAGAUGUAUUUUAGUUCUAGAUACAUCCAUUUCUGCGACGAGUAAUUUGGAACGGAGGGAGUACGUA
rnacentral:pre_miRNA from 1 species